AUUGAACGCUGGCGGAAUGCUUUACACAUGCAAGUCGAACGGCAGCACGGACUUCGGUCUGGUGGCGAGUGGCGAACGGGUGAGUAAUGUAUCGGAACGUGCCCAGUCGUGGGGGAUAACGUAGUGAAAAUUACGCUAAUACCGCAUACGAUCUAUGGAUGAAAGCGGAGGAUCGCAAGACCUCGCGCGGUUGGAGCGGCCGAUAUCAGAUUAGGUAGUUGGGGGGGUAAAGGCCCACCAAGCCAACGAUCUGUAGCUGGUCUGAGAGGACGACCAGCCACACUGGAACUGGGACACGGUCCAGACUCCUACGGGAGGCAGCAGUGGGGAAUUUUGGACAAUGGGCGAAAGCCUGAUCCAGCCAUUCCGCGUGCAGGACGAAGGCCCUCGGGUUGUAAACUGCUUUUGUACAGAACGAAAAGGUUUCUACUAAUACUAGGAGCUCAUGACGGUACUGUAAGAAUAAGCACCGGCUAACUACGUGCCAGCCGCCGCAGUAA
rnacentral:rRNA from 1 species